rnacentral:rRNA from 1 species
CCCUUAGAUGUUCUGGGCCGCACGCGCGCUACACUGAUGCAUUCAACAAGCCUAGCCUUGACCGAGAGGUCCGGGUAAUCUUUGAAACUGCAUCGUGAUGGGGCUAGAUUAUUGCAAUUAUUAAUCUUCAACGAGGAGUGCCUAGUAAGCGUGAUUCAUCAAAUCGCGUUGAUUACGUCCCUGCCCUUUGUACACACCGCCCGUCGCUCCUACCGAUUGAGUGGUCCGGUGAGGCUUUGGGAUCUGAGCGGAAAGAGCGUUUCGCUGUUUCUGCUCGGAAAACUCAGUCGAACCUUAUCAUUUAGAGGAAGGAGAAGUCGUAACA